GCGCUUUGAGGUGGAAAUUUUGUGUCGCCAUACGCCGCAUGCCUUUGGGCAAUGGGCAAAAGAGAUGCAGGGCCAGGCACGCCUGCCAAAGCAC
rnacentral:ncRNA from 12 species